AACGGGGAACGAGCGUUUAUUCAUCUUGAUUGGGCGUAAAGGGUUCGUAGGCGGUCAAUUAAGUUUAAGAAUGAAUGGCCUUAACAGAGUUCUGGGAUAAAUUCUAUAUAACUGUUUGACUAAGAGAACGGAAAAGGAUAGUGGUACUCUUAAUGGAGGGAGUGACAUCCACAUAAAUUGAUGUUGGGACAAACCAACUGGCAAUAGCGACUAUCUAAGGACGUAUCUGACGCUGAGGGACGAAAGCAUGGUAGCAAACCGUA
rnacentral:rRNA from 1 species